GUGGGGAAUAUUGGACAAUGGGCGCAAGCCUGAUCCAGCCAUGCCGCGUGAGUGAUGAAGGCCUUAGGGUUGUAAAGCUCUUUCACCGAUGAAGAUAAUGACGGUAGUCGGAGAAGAAGCCCCGGCUAACUUCGUGCCAGCAGCCGCGGUAAUACGAAGGGGGCUAGCGUUGUUCGGAUUUACUGGGCGUAAAGCGCACGUAGGCGGUUUGUUAAGUCAGGGGUGAAAUCCCGGAGCUCAACUCCGGAACUGCCUUUGAUACUGGCAAGCUAGAGUCCGGAAGAGGUAAGUGGAACUCCUAGUGUAGAGGUGGAAUUCGUAGAUAUUAGGAAGAACACCAGUGGCGAAGGCGGCUUACUGGUCCGGAACUGACGCUGAGGUGCGAAAGCGUGGGGAGCAAAUGGGAUUAGAAACCCGUGUAGUCC
rnacentral:rRNA from 1 species